rnacentral:rRNA from 1 species
UACGUAGGGGGCAAGCGUUGUCCGGAUUUAUUGGGCGUAAAGAGCGUGUAGGCGGCUAGAUAGGUCCGUUGUGAAAACUCGAGGCUCAACCUCGAGACGUCGAUGGAAACCAUCUGGCUAGAGUCCGGAAGAGGAGAGUGGAAUUCCUGGUGUAGCGGUGAAAUGCGCAGAUAUCAGGAAGAACACCCGUGGCGAAGGCGGCUCUCUGGUACGUGACUGACGCUGAGACGCGAAAGCGUGGGAGCGAACAGG